rnacentral:rRNA from 1 species
AAUCAACGCUGGCGGCGUGCCUCAGACAUGCAAGUCGAACGAGAAGGCUCCUUCGGGAGCCGGAAAGUGGCGCACGGGUGAGUAACACGUGGGUAAUUUACCUUCAGGUGGGGAACAACAGCCGGAAACGGCUGCUAAUACCGCAUAACGUAGCGGCACCUAAUGGUGACAGUUGUUAAAGCGGGGGGAUCGCAAGACCUCGCGCCUGAAGAGAAGCCUGCGGCAGAUUAGGUAGNGGUGAGGUAAUGGCUCACCAAGCCCGCGAUCUGUAGCCGGCCUGAGAGGGCGGUCGGCCACACUGACACUGAACAACGGGUCAGACUCCUACGGGAGGCAGCAGUCGGGAAUUUUGGGCAAUGGGCGCAAGCCUGACCCAGCAACGCCGCGUGAAGGAUGAAGUUUUUCGGAAUGUAAACUUACACAAGAAUGGGAAGAAUAAGUUUCAGCUAACACCUGAAGCGAUGACGGUACCAUUUGUAAGCUCCGGCUAACUCCGU